rnacentral:tRNA from 1 species
GCCGGGGUGGCGGAACCUGGUAGACGCGCCAUCUUGAGGGGGUGGUGGGGUAAUACCCGUCGGAGUUCAAAUCUCCGCCCCGGCA